GUGACCAAACUGUGAUUGCGAUGACUGCGCACUCCCCCCCUCCAAAAGGACGAUACGGGAAGUAAAUUAUGUAGCAGACAUGACAAGGGCGGCGGCAAGUUCCAUAUGGACAUGCUUCUUUCUAUAGUAUUAUUGGAUCUUCUCUUUCACCAAUGAUAAUUUCUCCUGUGAGGGUCAUUAGGGAUUCGGGUGAAGAAAAGGAGUCAUCAUCGAUGAAGCAUUGCUGAGAUGGCCUCUCUUGUUGACGGAAAUCUGAUGGACGGAAUGAGAUAGGAUAGAUUCCCAACGACCCCUGUGUUAUUUCCACAAAACCGCUCGAAUGAAUCAG
rnacentral:sRNA from 2 species